rnacentral:rRNA from 1 species
UACGGAGGGUGCAAGCGUUAUCCGGAUUCACUGGGUUUAAAGGGUGCGUAGGUGGAUCGAUAAGUCAGUGGUGAAAGCCCCGAGCUCAACUUGGGAAUUGCCAUUGAUACUGUUGAUCUUGAGUGCGGUUGAGGUAGACGGAAUAUGGCAUGUAGCGGUGAAAUGCUUAGAUAUGACAUAGAACACCAAUUGCGAAGGCAGUUUACCAAGCCGAUACUGACACUGAUGCACGAAAGCGUGGGGAUCAAACAGG